GAGCACGUAGGCGGGUUUGUAAGUCAGGUGUGAAAGCCUUCUGUUCAAAGGAAGAACGGCAUCUGAAACUGCGAAUCUUGAGUGUAGGAGGGGAGAGUGGAACUUCUGGUGGAGCGGUGAAAUGCGUAGAUAUCAGAAGGAACGUCGGCGGCGAAAGCGACUCUCUGGCCUAUUACUGACACUGAGGUGCGAAAGUUAGGGGAGCAAACGGGAUUAGAUACCCCGGUAGUCCUAACCGUAAACGAUGGGCACUAAGUGAAGGGGUUUU
rnacentral:rRNA from 1 species